UAAGUCGGCCACGAAUAGGCUAUCCCAACUAACGGCGGGAAAGACUCCGCGGAGGGUGUAAGACCCGUGUGGGCGCGUGUUUAAAGCUGUGUGGGCUCGGCCUCCAUUCCCUGAGAGUCGCGUUGCUUGAGCAUGCAGCGCUAAGCAGGUCGUAAACUCGAUCUAAGGCUAAAUAUUUCCACAGAACCGAUAGCGAACAAGUACCGUGAGGGAAAGUUGAAAAGCACUCUGGAGAGAGAGUCAAAAGACCGUGAAACCGCUCAGAGUAUAAGCCCAUGGCAGCUUGGAAGGCAUAUCGCUAGCGGGGCAUCGGUCUCCCUUCGCGGGGAGCCGGUGUUACCUUGCUUCUGUUGUGGCUCGUCAUGGUAGGGGGGUCAGGUCCACAUCCCGCCGUCGUGUGGAGAGUUCUCGGGUGUGUUGUGGUUUCUCGGUUGGCUUCGGCUUUCCGGGGGGCUCUUCGUACUUGGUUCUCUUUUAGACACGGACGUUCAGACUCAGUUGCAAGACGCGAUAACCAGCCCACCACGGCACGUUGUGAGGUCACCCACAGGCUCGACUUUCGAUCGUGAGCCUUGACGCCGAGCAAGCACAAUGCGUGUCGCAGAGGUUCCUAACCAGGCAUUCGAGCCAGGAUCGUGGAACGACACGCGCUCAACAGUCAGGUUCGGGCGGAGACAGAGUUCUGGUAUGAUCCUCUUGCGACGAGCCGGCUUCUGGCCGACAUCCGAUGCUCAGGUCUCCCGCAUGUGCCGCGGGAGAUCGCUUUGACGGUCUGGA
rnacentral:rRNA from 1 species